AUUGAACGCUGGCGGCAGGCCUAGCACAUGCAAGUCGAGCGGAUGAGGAGAGCUUGCUCUUCGAUUCAGCGGCGGACGGGUGAGUAAUGCCUAGGAAUCUGCCUGGUAGUGGGGGACAACGUUUCGAAAGGAACGCUAAUACCGCAUACGUCCUACGGGAGAAAGCAGGGGACCUUCGGGCCUUGCGCUAUCAGAUGAGCUUAGGUCGGAUUAGCUAGUUGGUGAGGUAAUGGCUCACCAAGGCGACGAUCCGUAACUGGGCUGAGAGGAUGGUCAGGCACACUGGAACUGAGACACGGUCCAGACUCCUACGGGAGGCAGCAGUGGGGAAUAUUGGACAAUGGGCGAAAGCCUGAUCCAGCCAUGCCGCGUGUGUGAAGAAGGUCUUCGGAUUGUAAAGCACUUUAAGUUGGGAGGAAGGGCAGUAAGUUAAUACCUUGCUGUUUUGACGCUACCGACAGAAUAAGCACCGGCUAACUCUGUGCCAGCCGCCGCCGUAAGAC
rnacentral:rRNA from 1 species